UUUAGCUGUUCUUGUGCUGAAAAAUCUUCUCAUCCUUUAUCUGCACAUCUGGAGUCGUCGAGUCGGAUAUUCAAUUUUGUCAAACCAAUAUUUAAGUUCAAACACGCUGAUUUUGAAGUUGACUUAUCAGCAGAGUUGAGAUCGUUUUGGAGUUCGCAGAAGAUCCCACGGUUCCCUGAAAUUCUCUUCAGUAUUAUGAGAAACGUCAACUCCACGAUUAUUGGUAAUGUUUAAGAACCUUUAAGUAGGUAGUUUUAAUUGUAGACAGUAACUAUAAGCAUAAGGUAUUAUACUGUUUUUUGUUAUUAUAGGAAACAACUCCGAUGAUAGUCUUUUAAACAAACAUCAAAUUCACGAAUGCAUACAUCAACGACGGCAGCAGGAGAAAACAUUUAAGAUGAAGAAACACAUCAACCUGAAGAAAAAUAUUGUACAGAAUGGUUGAAUGGUUAUUCAGUAGCAGUUCACUACCAACGCUUUUCGACGAGUCUGUUCAUUUAUUCGGAUAAACUUAACAGUGAAGUUUCGAUCCUUCAUUAUCAAAUACCAACUAUAGAAAAAUUAUCUUUGAGUUUAUUAUCCAUAGUUGUUUUCAAGAAAUACGCCAGUAUUCUGGCGAUUUAACCCUCCUUCAACUUUUACAACCUAUAGAAUAUACCUCGUAGGUUUCAAAUCCAUCGUUUAAGUACACUUAUAAUAAUAACACGAGGUGAAGAUGAAAGUAUAAACAUAACACAAAACUUACUUGC